UACGGAGGGAGCGAGCGUUAUCGGAUUAUUGGGCGUAAAGGGCUCGUAGGCGGUUCGUCGCGUCCGGUGUGAAAGUCCAUCGCUUAACGGUGGAUCCGCGCCGGGUACGGGCGGGCUUGAGUGCGGUAGGGGAGACUGGAAUUCCGGUGUAACGGUGGAAUGAUGUAGAUAUCGGGAAGAACACCAAUGGCGAAGGCGAGGUCUCUGGGCCGUUACUGACGCUGAGGAGCGAAAGCGGUGGGAGCGAACGAGGA
rnacentral:rRNA from 1 species